ensembl:misc_RNA Metazoa_SRP Metazoan signal recognition particle RNA
GCACGUGGUGGUGCGUGCUGGUAGUCCCAGCUACUCAGAAGGCUGAGGUGGGAGGAUCGCUUGAGCCCAGGAGUUCUGGGCUGUAGUGCGCUAUGCCAAUCGCAUGUCCGCAUUAAGUUCGGCAUCAAUAUGGUGACCUCCUGGGAGCAGGGGACCACUGGGUUGCCUAAGGAGGGGUGAACCGGCCCAGGUCAGAAACCGAGUAGGUCAAAACUCCGGUGCUGAUCAGUAGUGGGAUCACGCCUGUGAAUAGCCACUGCACUCCAGCCUGAGCAACAUAGUGACACCCCGUCUCAA